rnacentral:lncRNA from 1 species
GAAAAACACAAAACAAGUGAACGUCAUCGUCGUGGUGCGGGGAGUGCUUGCUCUGUCUUCAGGCAUCUGGAAGGUGAGCACAAAGCUGUCACUGGUGAUAACAGCAGCACUGAGCUCCAGCAGCAGCAUUGGCUCUGUGCUCAUACGGUUACGCACACAUGGCCAGAUGGGUCCCCUGACUCCAAAGCGCAUUCCUUCCCCCAUACCACUUGGCCAGCUUGUUGUGGUGAAGGGGAUAUUAAGUCGCAGAGCGGGUGGACUCCUGAGCACCUACUGAGUGGGAAAAAUACAGCAGGGUGAGGGGAUUGAGUGGGAGUGCAAUCAGGGAAGACUUCCUGAAGGCAGUGACUGGUGACUGGAAUGAAGCAUGAGAAUGAGCCAUGCAGGUUGCCCAGAGAGAGCAUCCAGGCAGAGGGAGCAGAAAGUUCCAUCCUCGCCCAGCUCUGCCGGCCCAGGUACUUUCUCCUCUGCCUUCUACUCCCAGUCUCAC